rnacentral:rRNA from 1 species
UACGGAGGGUCCGAGCGUUAUCCGGAUUCAUUGGGUUUAAAGGGUGCGUAGGCGGCUUUAUAAGUCAGUAGUGAAAUCCAACGGCUCAACCGUUGACGUGCUAUUGAAACUGUAGAGCUAGAAUUAAGAUGGAGUGGGCGGAAUAUGUUGUGUAGCGGUGAAAUGCAUAGAUAUAACAUAGAACACCGAUCGCGAAGGCAGCUCACUAAACUUCGAUUGACGCUGAUGCACGAAAGCGUGGGGAGCGAACAGG